CCUACGGGAGGCAGCAGUGGGGAAUAUUGGACAAUGGGCGAAAGCCUGAUCCAGCCAUGCCGCGUGUGUGAAGAAGGCCUUCGGGUUGUAAAGCACUUUCAGUGGGGAAGAAAGCCUUGGGGCUAAUACCCUCGAGGAAGGACAUCACCCACAGAAGAAGCACCGGCUAACUCCGUGCCAGCAGCCGCGGUAAUACGGAGGGUGCGAGCGUUAAUCGGAAUUACUGGGCGUAAAGCGCGCGUAGGCGGUCUGAUAAGCCGGUUGUGAAAGCCCCGGGCUCAACCUGGGAACGGCAUCCGGAACUGUCAGGCUAGAGUGCAGGAGAGGAAGGUAGAAUUCCCGGUGUAGCGGUGAAAUGCGUAGAGAUCGGGAGGAAUACCAGUGGCGAAGGCGGCCUUCUGGACUGAAACUGACGCUGAGGUGCGAAAGCGUGGGUAGCAAACAGGAUUAGAUACCCGGGUAGUC
rnacentral:rRNA from 1 species